AGCAUUCAUUUUCUGCCACCGAAUACAUUAGCAUGGGAUAAGGGAAUAGGACCCUGUCCUCCUUUUUUCAGUUGGUUCAUUCUUGAGAGAGGAACAGGGUAAUGAUUAAUAGGGAUAGUUGGGGGCAUUAAUUUUUAUUUGUCAGAGGUGAAAUUCUUGGAUUUAUGAAAUAUUAGCUUCUGCGAAACCCUCUGCCAAGGAUGUUUUCAUUAUUCAAAAACGAAAGUUGGGGGAUCAAAGACGAUCAGAUACCGUCGUAUUCUUAACCAUAAACGAUGCCCACCAGCAAUUAGGAGACGUUGAAAACCCAAAUCCCCUCUUUAUAUAAUUCAGUAUUCGUGAGCAGACAAAUGGUUGUGCAUUGUUUGAGUUACUAGUUUUCGGGGAAGGACCCCUAGCAUCUGGGACAAACUUUGGAAAAACUAUAA
rnacentral:rRNA from 1 species